GUGGGGAAUAUUGGACAAUGGGCGAAAGCCUGAUCCAGCCAUGCCGCGUGUGUGAAGAAGGUCUUCGGAUUGUAAAGCACUUUAAGUUGGGAGGAAGGGCAGUAAGUUAAUACCUUGCUGUUUUGACGUUACCGACAGAAUAAGCACCGGCUAACUUCGUGCCAGCAGCCGCGGUAAUACGAAGGGUGCAAGCGUUAAUCGGAAUUACUGGGCGUAAAGCGCGCGUAGGUGGUUCAGUAAGUUGGAAGUGAAAUCCCCGGGCUCAACCUGGGAACUGCUUUCAAAACUGCUGAGCUAGAGUACGGUAGAGGGUGGUGGAAUUUCCUGGGUAGCGGUGAAAUGCGUAGAUAUAGGAAGUAACACCAGUGGCGAAGGCGACUACCUGGACUGAUACUGACACUGAGGUGCGAAAGCGUGGGGAGCAAACAGGAUUAGAAACCCUUGUAGUCC
rnacentral:rRNA from 1 species